rnacentral:rRNA from 1 species
UACGUAGGCAGCAAGCGUUGUUCGGAGUUACUGGGCGUAAAGCGCGCGCAGGCGGCCCGCGAGGUGUCACGUGAAAGCCCCGGGCUCAACCCGGGAGGGUCGUGGCAAACCGGCGGGCUUGAGGCCGGUAGAGGUGGGUGGAACUCCUGGUGGAGUGGUGAAAUGCGUAGAGAUCAGGAAGAACACCCGUGGCGAAGGCGGCCCACUGGGCCGGUACUGACGCUGAGGCGCGAAGGCGUGGGGAGCGAACGGG